UACGUAGGUGACAAGCGUUGUCCGGAUUUACUGGGCGUAAAGAGCGCGCAGGCGGUCGUUCAAGUCGAGUGUGAAAGCCCCCGGCUCAACUGGGGAGGGUCACUCGAUACUGAUCGACUCGAAGGCAGGAGAGGGAAGUGGAAUUCCCGGUGUAGUGGUGAAAUGCGUAGAUAUCGGGAGGAACACCGGUGGCGAAGGCGGGUCUCUGGGCCGAUACUGACGCUGAGGAGCGAAAGCGUGGGGAGCGAACAGG
rnacentral:rRNA from 1 species